GACGAACGCUGGCGGCGUGCUUAACACAUGCAAGUCGAACGGAAAGGCCCUGCUUUUGUGGGGCGCUCGAGUGGCGAACGGGUGAGUAACACGUGAGUAACCUGCCCUUGACUUUGGGAUAACUUCAGGAAACUGGGGCUAAUACCGGAUAGGAGCUCCUGCUGCAUGGUGGGGGUUGGAAAGUUUCGGCGGUUGGGGAUGGACUCGCGGCUUAUCAGCUUGUUGGUGGGGUAGUGGCUUACCGAGGCUUUGACGGGUAGCCGGCCUGAGAGGGUGACCGGCCACAUUGGGACUGAGAUACGGCCCAGACUCCUACGGGAGGCAGCAGUGGGGAAUAUUGCACAAUGGGCGGAAGCCUGAUGCAGCAACGCCGCGUGCGGGAUGACGGCCUUCGGGUUGUAAACCGCUUUCGCCUGUGACGAAGCGUGAGUGACGGUAAUGGGUAAAGAAGCACCGGCUAACUACGUGCCAGCAGCCGCGGUGAUACGUAGGGUGCGAGCGUUGUCCGGAUUUAUUGGGCGUAAAGGGCUCGUAGGUGGUUGAUCGCGUCGGAAGUGUAAUCUUGGGGCUUAACCCUGAGCGUGCUUUCGAUACGGGUUGACUUGAGGAAGGUAGGGGAGAAUGGAAUUCCUGGUGGAGCGGUGGAAUGCGCAGAUAUCAGGAGGAACACCAGUGGCGAAGGCGGUUCUCUGGGCCUUUCCUGACGCUGAGGAGCGAAAGCGUGGGGAGCGAACAGGCUUAGAUACCCUGGUAGUCCACGCUGUAAACGGUGGGUACUAGGUGUGGGGUCCAUUCCACGGGUUCCGUGCCGUAGCUAACGCUUUAAGUACCCCGCCUGGGGAGUACGGCCGCAAGGCUAAAACCCAAAGGAAUUGACGGGGCCCCGCACAAGCGGCGGAGCAUGCGGAUUAAUUCGAUGCAACGCGUAGAACCUUACCUGGGUUUGACAUGGAUCGGGAGUGCUCAGAGAUGGGUGUGCCUCUUUUGGGGCCGGUUCACAGGUGGUGCAUGGCUGUCGUCAGCUCGUGUCGUGAGAUGUUGGGUUAAGUCCCGCAACGAGCGCAACCCUUGUUCACUGUUGCCAGCACGUUAUGGUGGGGACUCAGUGGAGACCGCCGGGGUCAACUCGGAGGAAGGUGGGGAUGACGUCAAGUCAUCAUGCCCCUUAUGUCCAGGGCUUCACGCAUGCUACAAUGGCUGGUACAGAGAGUGGCGAGCCUGUGAGGGUGAGCGAAUCUCGGAAAGCCGGUCUCAGUUCGGAUUGGGGUCUGCAACUCGACCUCAUGAAGUCGGAGUCGCUAGUAAUCGCAGAUCAGCAACGCUGCGGUGAAUACGUUCCCGGG
rnacentral:rRNA from 1 species